GUCCGUCAAUUCCUUUGAGUUUUAAUCUUGCGACCGUACUCCCCAGGCGGCGAACUUCACGCGUUAGCUGCGGUACUAAGAAAGUCUCCUUCCCCAACACCUAGUUCGCAUCGUUUAGGGCGUGGACUACCAGGGUAUCUAAUCCUGUUUGCUCCCCACGCUUUAGUGCAUGAGCGUCAGUGUUGACCCAGGGGGCUGCCUUCGCCAUCGGUGUUCCUCCACAUCUCUACGCAUUUCACUGCUACACGUGGAAUUCCACCCCCCUCUGCCACACUCGAGUUAUGCAGUCACAAGCGCAGUUCCCAGGUUAAGCCCGGGGAUUUCACACCUGUCUUACAUAACCGCCUGCGCACGCUUUACGCCCAGUAAUUCCGAUUAACGCUCGCACCCUACGUAUUAC
rnacentral:misc_RNA from 1 species